rnacentral:rRNA from 2 species
AGACCCGAAACCCGGUGAUCUAGCCAUGGGCAGGUUGAAGGUUGGGUAACACUAACUGGAGGACCGAACCGACUAAUGUUGAAAAAUUAGCGGAUGACCUGUGGCUGGGGGUGAAAGGCCAAUCAAACCGGGAGAUAGCUGGUUCUCCCCGAAAGCUAUUUAGGUAGCGCCUCGUGAAUUCAUCUCCGGGGGUAGAGCACUGUUUCGGCUAGGGGGCCAUCCCGGCUUACCAACCCGAUGCAAACUGCGAAUACCGGAGAAUGUUAUCACGGGAGACACACGGCGGGUGCUAACGUCCGUCGUGAAGAGGGAAACAACCCAGACCGCCAGCUAAGGUCCCAAAGUCAUGGUUAAGUGGGAAACGAUGUGGGAAGGCCCAGACAGCCAGGAUGUUGGCUUAGAAGCAGCCAUCAUUUAAAGAAAGCGUAAUAGCUCACUGGUCGAGUCGGCCUGCGCGGAAGAUGUAACGGGGCUAAACCAUGCACCGAAGCUGCGGCAGCGAACGUAUCACCCAAGACAACUUUACGGAGUUGACGAUUGACGGAGCGAAGCGACGUCAAAGCGUUCAUUAAAGUCGAGUUGGCUUAGGGAUACGUUCGUUGGGUAGGGGAGCGUUCUGUAAGCCUGUGAAGGUGUGUCGUGAGGCAUGCUGGAGGUAUCAGAAGUGCGAAUGCUGACAUAAGUAACGAUAAAGCGGGUGAAAAGCCCGCUCGCCGGAAGACCAAGGGUUCCUGUCCAACGUUAAUCGGGGCAGGGUGAGUCGACCCCUAAGGCGAGGCCGAAAGGCGUAGUCGAUGGGAAACGGGUUAAUAUUCCCGUACUUGGUGUUACUGCGAAGGGGGGACGGAGAAGGCUAUGUUGGCCGGGCGACGGUUGUCCCGGUUUAAGCGUGUAGGUGUGUGUUCCAGGUAAAUCCGGUUCACUUUAACACUGAGGCGUGAUGACGAGGCACUACGGUGCUGAAGCAACAAA